AUUGAACGCUGGCGGCAGGCCUAACACAUGCAAGUCGAGCGAGCGGCGGACGGGUGAGUAAUGUAUGGGGACUGCCCGAUAGAGGGGGAUAACUCCUGGAAACGGUGGCUAAUACCGCCUACUAUCGGAUCACCCAAAUGGGAUUAGCUAGUAGGUGGGGUAAAGGCUCACCUAGGCUACGAUCUCUAGCUGGUCGUAGAGGAUGAUCAGCCACACUGGAACUGAGACACGGUCCAGACUCCUACGGAGUCAGCAGUGGGGAAUAUUGCACAAUGGGCGCAAGCCUGAUGCAGCCAUGCAGCGUGUAUGAAGAAGGCCGUAGGGUUGUAAAGUACUUGCAGCGGGGAGGCGUUACCCGCAGAAGAAGCACCGGCUAACGCCGUGCCAGCAGCCGCGGUAAUAC
rnacentral:rRNA from 1 species